GACUUAUAUUCUGUAGCAAGGUUAACCGAAUAGGGGAGCCGAAGGGAAACCGAGUCUUAACUGGGCGUUAAGUUGCAGGGUAUAGACCCGAAACCCGGUGAUCUAGCCAUGGGCAGGUUGAAGGUUGGGUAACACUAACUGGAGGACCGAACCGACUAAUGUUGAAAAAUUAGCGGAUGACUUGUGGCUGGGGGUGAAAGGCCAAUCAAACCGGGAGAUAGCUGGUUCUCCCCGAAAGCUAUUUAGGUAGCGCCUCGUGAAUUCAUCUCCGGGGGUAGAGCACUGUUUCGGCAAGGGGGUCAUCCCGACUUACCAACCCGAUGCAAACUGCGAAUACCGGAGAAUGUUAUCACGGGAGACACACGGCGGGUGCUAACGUCCGUCGUGAAGAGGGAAACAACCCAGACCGCCAGCUAAGGUCCCAAAGUCAUGGUUAAGUGGGAAACGAUGUGGGAAGGCCCAGACAGCCAGGAUGUUGGCUUAGAAGCAGCCAUCAUUUAAAGAAAGCGUAAUAGCUCACUGGUCGAGUCGGCCUGCGCGGAAGAUGUAACGGGGCUAAACCAUGCACCGAAGCUGCGGCAGCGACACUGUGUGUUGUUGGGUAGGGGAGCGUUCUGUAAGCCUGUGAAGGUGUGCUGUGAGGCAUGCUGGAGGUAUCAGAAGUGCGAAUGCUGACAUAAGUAACGAUAAAGCGGGUGAAAAGCCCGCUCGCCGGAAGACCAAGGGUUCCUGUCCAACGUUAAUCGGGGCAGGGUGAGUCGACCCCUAAGGCGAGGCCGAAAGGCGUAGUCGAUGGGAAACAGGUUAAUAUUCCUGUACUUGGUGUUACUGCGAAGGGGGGACGGAGAAGGCUAUGUUGGCCGGGCGACGGUUGUCCCGGUUUAAGCGUGUAGGCUGGUUUUCCAGGCAAAUCCGGAAAAUCAAGGCUGAGGCGUGAUGACGAGGCACUACGGUGCUGAAGCAACAAAUGCCCUGCUUCCAGGAAAAGCCUCUAAGCAUCAGGUAACAUCAAAUCGUACCCCAAACCGACACAGGUGGUCAGGUAGAGAAUACCAAGGCGCUUGAGAGAACUCGGGUGAAGGAACUAGGCAAAAUGGUGCCGUAACUUCGGGAGAAGGCACGCUGAUAUGUAGGUGAAGUCCCUCGCGGAUGGAGCUGAAAUCAGUCGAAGAUACCAGCUGGCUGCAACUGUUUAUUAAAAACACAGCACUGUGCAAACACGAAAGUGGACGUAUACGGUGUGACGCCUGCCCGGUGCCGGAAGGUUAAUUGAUGGGGUCAGCGCAAGCGAAGCUCUUGAUCGAAGCCCCGGUAAACGGCGGCCGUAACUAUAACGGUCCUAAGGUAGCGAAAUUCCUUGUCGGGUAAGUUCCGACCUGCACGAAUGGCGUAAUGAUGGCCAGGCUGUCUCCACCCGAGACUCAGUGAAAUUGAACUCGCUGUGAAGAUGCAGUGUACCCGCGGCAAGACGGAAAGACCCCGUGAACCUUUACUAUAGCUUGACACUGAACAUUGAGCCUUGAUGUGUAGGAUAGGUGGGAGGCUUUGAAGUGUGGACGCCAGUCUGCAUGGAGCCGACCUUGAAAUACCACCCUUUAAUGUUUGAUGUUCUAACGUGGACCCGUGAUCCGGGUUGCGGACAGUGUCUGGUGGGUAGUUUGACUGGGGCGGUCUCCUCCUAAAGAGUAACGGAGGAGCACGAAGGUUGGCUAAUCCUGGUCGGACAUCAGGAGGUUAGUGCAAUGGCAUAAGCCAGCUUGACUGCGAGCGUGACGGCGCGAGCAGGUGCGAAAGCAGGUCAUAGUGAUCCGGUGGUUCUGAAUGGAAGGGCCAUCGCUCAACGGAUAAAAGGUACUCCGGGGAUAACAGGCUGAUACCGCCCAAGAGUUCAUAUCGACGGCGGUGUUUGGCACCUCGAUGUCGGCUCAUCACAUCCUGGGGCUGAAGUAGGUCCCAAGGGUAUGGCUGUUCGCCAUUUAAAGUGGUACGCGAGCUGGGUUUAGAACGUCGUGAGACAGUUCGGUCCCUAUCUGCCGUGGGCGCUGGAGAACUGAGGGGGGCUGCUCCUAGUACGAGAGGACCGGAGUGGACGCAUCACUGGUGUUCGGGUUGUCAUGCCAAUGGCACUGCCCGGUAGCUAAAUGCGGAAGAGAUAAGUGCUGAAAGCAUCUAAGCACGAAACUUGCCCCGAGAUGAGUUCUCCCUGACCCUUUAAGGGUCCUGAAGGAACGUUGAAGACGACGACGUUGAUAGGCCGGGUGUGUAAGCGCAGCGAUGCGUUGAGCUAACCGGUACUAAUGAACCGUGAGGCUUAACCU
rnacentral:rRNA from 1 species